CAAAGGCAGUCAGGGGAAAAGUCCACGGGAAAGAUAUUUAGGAAAGUAUCGGGGGUGUUAUCCAGCUGGUGAGCACCAGACAGGACAGGGAGUAGGAGGCCGCUGUGUCUUAUGAUUUAGGUAGGGCCUGUCCAGCUAGGAAGAGAAUUAGAUAAGAAGGCCCUAUUUCCCCAAACUGGAAAGAACCAGAAAACCACCAUUUUACAUAUGUUUCCUAUGCAUUAGACAGGUUUGCAUAUAGUUUUAUGCAUGAUGGGAAGAUGGUUUCCACCAAUGUGGAGGCAUCAUGUCAGAAAGCUACCUAGAAGAAAUCUUUAUAAAACGUUCACAACAGAAAAAAAAGACUUCUCCGUUGAACUACAAGGAGAGAUUAUUUGUUCUCACAGAUGACAAGAUUUCCUACUAUGACUAUGAUCCUGAGAAAAGGAAAAAGAAAAGUUUGAAAGGCUCAGUCGAUCUCGAAAAGAUAAAGUGCGUGGAGACGGUAGAGCCAGACGACAGCUCUCCACCUGAACGACAGUUUCCCUUCCAGGUGAGCUUCUCCACCCAUAUGUAGGUGAACAUCCUUACUAAUGAGCUAUAGUAGACAUCUUAUCUUAUCAUUCAUACCCUUUCCAGUUUCACUGUUUCACUGAAACUCAAUAACUUGUAGUGCACAGUAUGCCACAUCAGAAGGAAUAUAUU